rnacentral:rRNA from 1 species
AUGAACGCUAGCUACAGGCUUAACACAUGCAAGUCGAGGGGCAGCAUGGUCUUAGCUUGCUAAGGCCGAUGGCGACCGGCGCACGGGUGAGUAACACGUAUCCAACCUGCCGUCUACUCUUGGACAGCCUUCUGAAAGGAAGAUUAAUACAAGAUGGCAUCAUGAGUCCGCAUGUUCACAUGAUUAAAGGUAUUCCGGUAGACGAUGGGGAUGCGUUCCAUUAGAUAGUAGGCGGGGUAACGGCCCACCUAGUCUUCGAUGGAUAGGGGUUCUGAGAGGAAGGUCCCCCACAUUGGAACUGAGACACGGUCCAAACUCCUACGGGAGGCAGCAGUGAGGAAUAUUGGUCAAUGGGCGAGAGCCUGAACCAGCCAAGUAGCGUGAAGGAUGACUGCCCUAUGGGUUGUAAACUUCUUUUAUAAAGGAAUAAAGUCGGGUAUGGAUACCCGUUUGCAUGUACUUUAUGAAUAAGGAUCGGCUAACUCCGUGCCAGCAGCCGCGGUAAUACGGAGGAUCCGAGCGUUAUCCGGAUUUAUUGGGUUUAAAGGGAGCGUAGAUGGAUGUUUAAGUCAGUUGUGAAAGUUUGCGGCUCAACCGUAAAAUUGCAGUUGAUACUGGAUAUCUUGAGUGCAGUUGAGGCAGGCGGAAUUCGUGGUGUAGCGGUGAAAUGCUUAGAUAUCACGAAGAACUCCGAUUGCGAAGGCAGCCUGCUAAGCUGCAACUGACAUUGAGGCUCGAAAGUGUGGGUAUCAAACAGGAUUAGAUACCCUGGUAGUCCACACGGUAAACGAUGAAUACUCGCUGUUUGCGAUAUACUGCAAGCGGCCAAGCGAAAGCGUUAAGUAUUCCACCUGGGGAGUACGCCGGCAACGGUGAAACUCAAAGGAAUUGACGGGGGCCCGCACAAGCGGAGGAACAUGUGGUUUAAUUCGAUGAUACGCGAGGAACCUUACCCGGGCUUAAAUUGCAGAUGAAUUACGGUGAAAGCCGUAAGCCGCAAGGCAUCUGUGAAGGUGCUGCAUGGUUGUCGUCAGCUCGUGCCGUGAGGUGUCGGCUUAAGUGCCAUAACGAGCGCAACCCUUGUUGUCAGUUACUAACAGGUUCCGCUGAGGACUCUGACAAGACUGCCAUCGUAAGAUGUGAGGAAGGUGGGGAUGACGUCAAAUCAGCACGGCCCUUACGUCCGGGGCUACACACGUGUUACAAUGGGGGGUACAGAGGGCCGCUACCACGCGAGUGGAUGCCAAUCCCAAAAACCUCUCUCAGUUCGGACUGGAGUCUGCAACCCGACUCCACGAAGCUGGAUUCGCUAGUAAUCGCGCAUCAGCCACGGCGCGGUGAAUACGUUCCCGGGCCUUGUACACACCGCCCGUCACACCAUGAGAGUUGGGGAUACCCGAAGCCUGUGAGCCAACAGUUAAAUGGGGCAGCAGUCGAAGGUAGAAUCAAUGAUUGGGGUG